rnacentral:lncRNA from 1 species
GAAAUUAAUAUUUGAUCCAAGAUUUUUCCUCAAGUUUGUUGUCAAUAAUUAGUAAGUAAAUCAGAAAAUAUCAGAUUAGUCAGACUUGGUCCUCUAUUCUUUUGUCACCUAAAGUAUUUACUGAAUCAUUCGGCCAAUGAAAAACAAGUAGAGAUCAUUCAACAACCAAUGAGCAAAUACUGUCACGCUGCCAGGACUAACAGUGGCCCAGGCUCAUCUUAUAAAGACAG